UAAGGAAUAUUGCUCAAUGGGAGAAAUCCUGAAGCAGCAACGCCGCGUGGAGGAUGAAGGGUCUAUGACUUGUAAACUCCUGUAAAGAAGGAAAAAAUUCCCAUUUGAUGGGAGAUGAUGGUACUUCUGGAGUAAGCCCCGGCUAACUACGUGCCAGCAGCCGCGUUAAUACGUAGGGGGCAAGCGUUGUCCGGAUUUACUGGGUGUAAAGGGUGCUCAGGCGGAUUUGUAAGUCAGAGGUGAAAUCUUACAGCUUAACUGUGAAACUGCAUGUGAUACGGCAAUCCUAGAGUAUGGAAGAGAGUGAUGGAAUAUCUGGUGUAGCAGUGAAAUGCGUAGAUAUCAGAGAGAACACCAAUGGCGAAGGCAGUCACUUGGUCCAUUACUGACGCUAACGCACGAAAGCGUGGGUAGCAAACA
rnacentral:rRNA from 1 species